GGUCAAUGUUGUUAUUUUUAUUCUUGUAAAAAAACAGAAGUUCACCAUUGCAGGUUGUAAAAAUAUUUACUUUAAAAUAAAAUUUUAAAUUUCACUACCACCUCACGACAUCAGGAUUCCUGACUUGUGUCUGCACUCAGCAGUGAUCCUGUUUUUCAAGUCUUGGACACCAGUGGAAUGUGUUUUAGGAAUGACUGAUUUCAAGUAACCCCACAACAAACGUUUAAGUCUGGAGUCCUUGCCGGCUACUCAAUUGAUCCUCUUCUACCAAUCCAGUGAUCCGGAUAGUGUGCAUCUAUCAAUUGUCGCACAGGAAGAGCAUAAUGUGGAGGAGCUCCAUCUUGUUGAAAAUCAAACAUAUCUGUAUCUAAAUUUAACUGUCUACUUCGUUUACCUGGUUUUCAAGUGUUUCCACAAUAAGAGGGUCAAUAGUGUUUUUUAGCAAAUCUAAGUAUGAUUCUCCAUUUAAGUUUCCUUCAACAAAUACAGGUCCAACAUUAGUGUUGCCAAAUA